rnacentral:rRNA from 1 species
GACGAACGCUGGCGGCGUGCUUAACACAUGCAAGUCGAACGGAAAGGCCCUGCUUUUGUGGGGUGCUCGAGUGGCGAACGGGUGAGUGACACGUGAGUAACCUGCCCUUGACUUUGUGAUAACUUCAGGGAACUGGGGCUAAUACCGGAUAGAAGCUCCUGCUGCGUGGUGGUGGUUGGAAAGUUUCGGCGGUUGUGGAUGGACUCGCGGCUUAUCCGCUUGUUGGGGGGGUAGUGGCUUACCAAGGCUUUGACGGGUAGCCGGCCUGAGAGGGUGACCGGCCACAUUGGGACUGAGAUACGGCCCAGAAUCCUACGGGAGGCAGCAGUGGGGAAUAUUGCACAAUGGGCGGAAGCGUGAUGCAGCAACGCCGCGUGCGGGAUGACGGCCUUCGGGUUGUAAACCGCUUUCGACUGUGACGAAGCGUUAGUGACGGUAAUGGGUAAAGAAGCACCGGCUAACUACGUG